rnacentral:lncRNA from 12 species
ACAGCCCUGUGUCACUGCUCAGUGUCCCUCUGUCACAGCCCUGUGUCACUGCUCAGUGUCCCUCUGUCACAGCCCUGUGUCACUGCUCAGUGUCCCUCUGUCACAGCCCUGUGUCACAGCUCAGUGUCCCCUCGGUGCCAGCCCUGUGUCACAGCUCAGUGUCCCUCUGUCACUGCCCAGUGUCCCCUGUGUGCCAGCCCCGUGUCACAGCUCAGUGUCAUCUCUGUGCCAGCCCCGUGUCACUGCCCAGUGUCCCCUGUGUCACUGCCCAGUGUCCCCCCGGUGCCAGCCCCGCGUCACCUCUGUGCCAGCCCCGUGUCACUGCCCAGUGUCCCCUCUGUCACAGCUCAGCGUCCCCUGCUCUUGUCCUGCCUCAGUUUCCCCUUUUGUGCCUCAUUUCCCCGAGUCCUACUUUAGUUUCCUUAUGUCGUGCCUCAGUUUCCCUUUUUUAUCUCAUUCUCUUUCUGUCCCUCAGUUUCUCCCUUUUUACCUCGUUCCCUUCUGUGCCUCAGUUUCCCUUUUCACCUCAUUCCCUCUUUUUGUGUCUCAUUCCCCCUUUUUCACCUCGUUCUUUUUUUGUACCUCAGUUCCCCCUGUUUAAUCCCAUUUCCUUUUUGCGCCUCAGUUUCCCUUGUUGCACCUGUUUCCCUUUUUCACCGCAUUCAUUCCUGUGCCUCGGCUUCCCCUUUUGUCCCUCAUUCCCCCUUUUUGUGCCUCAGUUUCCCUUUCUCACCUCAUUCCCUUUUUCGCCUCAUUCCCCCUUUUUGUGCCUGUUCCCCUUUUGUCCCUCAUUCCCCCUUUCUGUGCCUCAGUUUCCCCUUUUUUUGCCUCAAUUUCCACUUUUGUCCCUCAUUCCCCUUUUUGUGCCUCAGUUUCCCUUUUCACCUAAUUACCCCUUUUUGUGCCUCAGUUUCCCUUUUUCACCUCAUUCUCUCUUGUGCCUCAGUUUCCCUUUUCCCCCUCAUCCCCCCUUCCUGUGCCUCAGUUUCCCUUUUCCCCUCAUUCCCUUUUCCCCCCCCCCCCCCCCCCCCCCCCCCCCCCCCCGUGUCCCCUCUUACAGUUGUCCCCAAACCUCCUGAUUUGUCCCCAAACCCGGGGCUCUCACCCCCUUACCCCUCUCCAAGGGGAAACUGAGGCACGGCCCCCUCAUUCCCCCUUUUUGUGCCUCAGUUUCCCUUUCUCACCUCAUUCCCUUUUUCGCCUCAUUCCCCCUUUUUGUGCCUGUUCCCCUUUUGUCCCUCAUUCCCCCUUUCUGUGCCUCAGUUUCCCCUUUUUUUGCCUCAAUUUCCACUUUUGUCCCUCAUUCCCCUUUUGCCGGCCUCGGGGGCUCCCCCCGAGCCGCCCCCCGGCGACAUCAUCCCCCUGUACUGCGCCCUCCUGGCCGCGCUCGUCGUGGGGCUCGUGGCCUACCUUUCUCACCUCAUUCCCUUUUUUGCCUCAUUCCCCCUUUUUGUGCCUGUUCCCCUUUUGUCCCUCAUUCCCUUUCUGUGCCUCAGUUUCCCCUUUUUUUGCCUCAAUUUCCACUUUUGUCCCUCAUUCCCCUUUUUGUGCCUCAGUUUCCCUUUUCACCUAAUUACCCCUUUUUGUGCCUCAGUUUCCCUUUUUCACCUCAUUCUCUCUCGUGCCUCAGUUUCCCUUUUCCCCCUCAUCCCCCUUCCUGUGCCUCAGUUUCCCUUUUCCCCUCAUUCCCUUUUCCACCCCCCCCCCCCCCCCCCCCCCCCCCCCCCCCCCCCCCCCCCCCCCCCCCCCCCCCCCCCCCCCCCC